CUCUGGCAAGACACUUUCUGCUGUUAGGUCCACACAGGGGACUCUGGCAAGACACUUUCUGCUGUUAGGUCCACACAGGGGACUCUGGCAAGACACUUUCUGCUGUUAGGUCCACACAGGGGACUCUGGCAAGACACUUUCUGCUGUUAGGUCCACACAGGGGACUCUGGCAAGACACUUUCUGCUGUUAGGUCCACACAGGGGACUCUGGCAAGACACUUUCUGCUGUUAGGUCCACACAGGGGACUCUGGCAAGACACUUUCUGCUGUUAGGUCCACACAGGGGACUCUGGCAAGACACUUUCUGCUGUUAGGUCCACACAGGGGACUCUGGCAAGACACUUUCUGCUGUUAGGUCCACACAGGGGACUC